rnacentral:tRNA from 1 species
GGAGUUGUGGCUCAGUGGUAGAGCACUUGCCUAGCACACAUGAGGCACUGGGUUUGAUCCCCAGCACCCCA